GUUUUUGUCGGCGCAGUGGGUAGUGCUGUUACCUCACAGCGAAAAGGUUGCGGGUUCAAAUCCGGCCCGGGACC